GACGAACGCUGGCGGCGUGCCUAACACAUGCAAGUUGAGCGACGAACCAGGGCUUGCCCUGGGGCAAAGCAGCGAACGGGUGAGUAACACGUGGGUAACCUACCCCGAUAACCGGGACAACCCGAGGAAACUCGGGCUAAUACCGGAUGUGCUCACUGGACUUCGGUUCAGUGCGUAAAGGAAGCUUCGGCCUCCGUAUCGGGAGGGGCCCGCGGCCCAUUAGUUUGUUGGUGAGGUAACGGCUCACCAAGACCGCGAUGGGUAGCUGGUCUGAGAGGACGAUCAGCCACACUGGGACUGAGGCACGGCCCAGACUCCUACGGGAGGCAGCAGUGGGGAUUCUUGCGCAAUGCGGGAAAGCGUGACGCAGCAACGCCGCGUGGGGGAAGAAGGCCUUCGGGUUGUAAACCCCUUUCAGGAGGGACGAAGGUUCGGCGGUGAAUAGCCGUCCGGACUGACGGUACCUCCACAAGAAGCCCCGGCUAACUACGUG
rnacentral:rRNA from 1 species